UGUCAGUUAAAAUAAUUGAAAAGUUUAAUAUAAAAUUUAGCGCUUGCGUGUUAAAGUAAAGCCGAGAGAUUUUUCUUUGAGUUUAAAAUCCCAGUUGAGACUUCGAUCCGAGGCCGAGAGAGGUCUGCGUGGGAGACCUGUCGCUCCUUUCUCUCUUCCUCACGCUCGAAAAUCUUUCUCAUUUUCUUGUGUACCUCUUGCUCGCUCGCUCGCACUUGCACUCGUACUUACUUACUUACUCACUCACUUACUUACUCACUUACUUACUUAUUCGUUAGCUCAUACAACUCUUUUUUACCCUUUCUCUUUAUAUUAUUCUUAUUAUCAAUCUGGUGCAAGAGGAGAACCCGAAGAUGCCGACUUCUUCCGCUUCCGAGAAUCUUGCUGUUCGAGACGUUGACUACAUUUUUGGAUUACGCAUCGAUAACCAGUGCUAUUGAUAUACUAUUUUGAUCAGAGUUUAAGCCCGAAGAGAAAAGUCGACUUAGAGGCAGAAAAAGAGGAUGAGGAUGAGAAUGAGAAAUAAGGAGAGAAAGAGAAAGAGAACUAGGAAGAGGUAAAGGCAGAGUUAGAGGUUGAGGUUGGAGAAGAUGAAACUAAAGAAAAGAGAGCUCUGAGUAUAGCACGAAGUAAAGCCAGUGGUACAACGAUCCCGGGGUCAUGCUCCGGUCACUGACAUCCGCCUUGGCCACCACUCUCUUCUCUAAGACAUACAACCAAGCUAACUUUGCCCUGCGACAGCAGGCUAAGUCUCCCGAGGCCUGACCACUCUCUGCCCUUUCGUCGUACUCGUUCUGGUAUUAUGCCCGUUCAUGAGUUGCUGUAAUCAGGAAACUAUGCUCUAUAAAUAUGUACAACAAUGACCUGCGGUGUGUUCAUUGUUAUGUUAAAUCGCAAUGCAAUAACAUUGAAACGAAAAGGCGUGAGGCAGUGACACGCUGUAUGUACUGAAGAGAAUGAGGAUUGAGGAUGAGAAUAUGAGGUA